CACAAGUUCAGUGCUUUUCACUGCCAAGAACAAACUCACCUGUGAACCCUUGUCCAGCCAGAGACCCAGCCACCAGUUACUGAAGGUGCAGCUGCCAAUCAUGAGGAGGAAGAGGGAGACUGCGAAGAGAGAGAGGAGAAUGACUUCAUCACAAGACUCCAAGAACUGCAGAAGUAGAGGGGUGAUUCACAGCACGCUUCUGCCUUGGGGAGGGACAGGCAUCCCUGGCUCACCAGCCGAGGGGAAUCUCACCACCAUCAUGCAAGGGUCAGGUGAUUCUUAGCUGCCUGUGCUCUGUGGCAGAGUUAGAAGUCUUCACCCACCAGCCUCCAUCCUUCCCCACUGACUGUGACCAGCCAUAAUAAGCAAAUAAA